AUCAUGGCUCAGAUUGAACGCUGGCGGCAUGCCUUACACAUGCAAGUCGAACGGUAACAGGUCUUCGGAUGCUGACGAGUGGCGAACGGGUGAGUAAUACAUCGGAACGUGCCCAGUAAUGGGGGAUAGCUCGGCGAAAGCCGGAUUAAUACCGCAUACGCCCUGAGGGGGAAAGUGGGGGAUCGCAAGACCUCACGUUAUUGGAGCGGCCGAUGGCUGAUUAGCUAGUUGGUAGGGUAAAGGCCUACCAAGGCGACGAUCAGUAGCUGGUCUGAGAGGACGAUCAGCCACACUGGGACUGAGACACGGCCCAGACUCCUACGGGAGGCAGCAGUGGGGAAUUUUGGACAAUGGGGGAAACCCUGAUCCAGCAAUGCCGCGUGUGCGAAGAAGGCCUUCGGGUUGUAAAGCACUUUUGUCAGGGAAGAAAUCCUUUGGGCUAAUACCCUAGGGGGAUGACGGUACCUGAAGAAUAAGCACCGGCUAACUACGUGCC
rnacentral:rRNA from 1 species